UUUACCAUUGUUAGUCGCACAUGCAAGGUUCACAUAACAGCAACUAGGAUUUAAAUGCAUUUCCAAGAAAGUUCACAUGCAUUUCUUAUCAACUUUGACCUGAUGCAUUAAAUGCAUUCUUAAAUUGUAGUCAGCUGCAGAACUAUUGUAAAUGUUUCCUUCUUCCUUUUUUUGUUAAAUAUAAAGAUAAAAUAUCUGCACAAAUGUCAUUAAAUAUGCAGAUUAACCAAACCGAAACUUAAUAUUAUACAUUUUACGACAAACAGAUCUAUAAACAUUAUUGUUCUACCUUGAUCAGCAAUUAGUUUUCUCUCAACACAGUUUUAUAGUAUUUUUUCUGAAGAUAUACAGAAUUUGAGACCGGUGUUCAGUUCAGCGUGUAUUAAAUAACCUUUCACUACAUAUUUAGAAGGCUGGAUGGGACGGAUUCAUCUCCUUAUCUCCAGGUCGGAGAGGAUAAACUCACACAGCUCUUCUAUCUACAGUUGUACAAUAGUGCACUCCAGGACAUAGACAAUAAUAAUAAAGAGAAGUCGAAACCAAAAAGCCAGAAAUCUAAAAAUAAGAAUGUGAGGAAAGAAUUGAA